GGACCCAGACGGGCGCACGGUCCCGCCUCCGUCCACGCCAGCCAGGCGCCUUCCAGGGCAGGCCCGGGCUGCAAAGGAAGGAGGAUGCGGGGAGGUCAUUAAAGCCUGCAUCGGCGACAGGCAAGGAGCCCCGAGACCUCCUGUGUCAGCUCCGCGAUCCCGCGCGGGGUACUGGGGAUUGAACCCAGAGCUUUCACUCUGAGGUACAUCUCUAUUCUACCCCAUCCCCACUUUUGAGACUUGGUAAAUCCAGCCUGAAGUGCAAUUUCUGAUCCUCCCGCUUCAGCCUCCUGGAGUACUGGAAGGACAGGCCUGUGCACCCCUCAAGGAAAGAGAGGCCAGUGCGGUGUCCUGAAGAGCCUUUCUUUCCCCCCCAUAUGAAAAUGACCUGACAACUAGGGUAAUCAUGCAGAGUGGAGAGUGUCACCCACCUCUUCGGCACAAACAGCCCAGACAAGGCAUGGAAUGGUGCUGAAACCUUGAGCCUGGUCCAAUGGCCAGCAGGAGUCCUCCAGUGUGAGUGAGUCAUUGUGCUUCUGUGCUGGCGCGAUCUUCAGAACGACAUCCUGAGGACGGUGCCCAGGAGUAAGUUGGUCAUCUCAGACUCCUUGACAGACUGGUGAAGAGCUCCAUUCCCUCUAGGGACUUGAUCUUCGUGUCCUUCACCCAGAUUCACCAUGAGAAUGGACUCCUUGUCUUGGGGCCCUCCUGCUGCAUGGGUAUCAUCCGCCUUUUGAGGUUUUCUCAAGGAAGAAGCUAGCUUUAUUACUUGCAACAAACUAUAUAUGUAGAAGCUUUGAGUGACUCUGCAAAUGCUGUCACCUCUGUUAAGGUGUGCUGGUUGUAACUUACUGAACCACCAUGGGAGAGACACCUGCUUAGCCUAAUUGUGGUGGUAGAGUCACUGUGCACUUUCUGCCUGCAGGAACAUGGACACCUAUCUGUUGUCUACUUAGGGGCCUGUCUCAUAUUAUUACAGAAAAACUGUAAUUCAUAAAGCUAAAAUUGUAAUUGGUGAGCUAAGACACAAUAUUCUCAUGAAAUGUUGAGACAUGCUGUGUUUAAGAUGCUAUGUAGGGUUGGGAUUUUAGCUCAGUGGUUCCGCUGCCUGCAAAAAAAAAAAAAAAAAAAAAAAAAAAAAAAAAAAGAAGAAAAGAAAGAAACACCAUGAUAUGUACUUUCCAAACCACAGUGCUCUCCCUGUAGCACUUGGCUGUAGGUGCUUAUCAAAAGCCACCUGCAUAAUAAAAAGUCCCAACCAGCACUUCUGUUUUGCCAGAUAAU